GUGCCAGCCGCCGCGGUAAGACGAACCGUGCGAACGUUGUUCGGAAUCACUGGGCUUAAAGGGCGCGUAGGCGGCCUGGUCAGUCAGGGGUGAAAUCUUUCGGCUCAACCGGAAAAGUGCCUUUGAUACUGCCAGGCUUGAGGGAGAUAGGGGCGUGUGGAACUUCCAGUGGAGCGGUGAAAUGCGUUGAUAUUGGAAGGAACGCCGGUGGCGAAAGCGACACGCUGGGUCUCUUCUGACGCUGAGGCGCGAAAGCUAGGGGAGCGAACGGGAUUAGAUACCCCGGUAGUCCUAGCCCUAAACGAUGGGUACUAGGUAGUAGACUUAACAUGGGUUUACUGCCGAAGCAAAAGUGCUAAGUACCCCGCCUGGGGAGUAUGGUCGCAAGGCUGAAACUUAAAUGAAUUGACGGGG
rnacentral:rRNA from 1 species